CCCCGCUUAGCUCAGACUGGCCAGAGCGGCUGACUGUAGCCGCGGUAAUCAGCAGGCCCCCGGUUCAAAUCCGGGAGCGGGGACCA
rnacentral:tRNA from 1 species